AGAUGGACCCGCGUCUGAUUAGCUAGUUGGUGGGGUAACGGCCUACCAAGUCUGCGAUCGGUAGCCGGACUGAGAGGUUGAACGGCCACAUUGGAACUGAGAAACGGUCCAGACUCCUACGGGAGGCAGCAGUGGGGAAUAUUGGGCAAUGGGCGAAAGCCUGACCCAGCGACGCCGCGUGAGCGAAGAAGGCCUUCGGGUCGUAAAGCUCUGUUGUCAGGGAAGAACAAGUGCCAUUCGAAUAGGUUGGCACCUUGACGGUACCUGGCCAGAAAGCCACGGCUAACUACGUGCCAGCAGCCGCGGUAAUUACGUAGGUGGCAAGCGUUGUCGGGAAUUAUUGGGCGUAAAGCGCGGGCCGGCGGUCCUUUAAUCUGAUGUGAAAGCCCACGGCUCAACCGUGGAGGGUCAUGGAAACUGGAGGACUUGAGUGCAGAAGAGAAGAGUGGAAUUCCACGUGUAGCGGUGAAAUGCGUAGAGAUGUGGAGGAACACCAGUGGCGAAGGCGACUCUUUGGUCUGUAACUGACGCUGAGGCGCGAAAGCGUGGGGAGCAAACAGGAUUAGAUACCCUGGUAGUCCACGCCGUAAACGAUGAGUGCUAAGUGUUAGGGGGUUUCCGCCCCUUAGUGCUGCAGCUAACGCAUUAAGCACUCCGCCUGGGGAGUACGGCCGCAAGGCUGAAACUCAAAGGAAUUGACGGGGGCCCGCACAAGCGGUGGAGCAUGUGGUUUAAUUCGAAGCAACGCGAAGAACCUUACCAGGUCUUGACAUCCUCUGAAAACCCUAGAGAUAGGGCGUUCCCCUUCGGGGGACAGAGUGACAGGUGGUGCAUGGUUGUCGUCAGCUCGUGUCGUGAGAUGUUGGGUUAAGUCCCGCAACGAGCGCAACCCUUGAUCUUAGUUGCCAGCAUUCAGUUGGGCACUCUAAGGUGACUGCCGGUGACAAACCGGAGGAAGGUGGGGAUGACGUCAAAUCAUCAUGCCCCUUAUGACCUGGGCUACACACGUGCUACAAUGGGGGGUACAAAGGGCCGCAAAACCGCGAGGUUGAGCAAAUCCCAUAAAACCACUCUCAGUUCGGAUUGCAGGCUGCAACUCGCCUGCAUGAAGCUGGAAUCGCUAGUAAUCGCGGAUCAGCAUGCCGCGGUGAA
rnacentral:rRNA from 1 species